UCCGGUUUAUCACCGGCAGUCCCUGCAGAGUCCUCGGCUUUACCCGGUAGCAACAGCAGGCAAGGGUUGCGCUCGUUGCGGGACUUAACCCAACAUCUCACGACACGAGCUGACGACAGCCAUGCAGCACCUGUGUUCCCGCCAGCCGAACUGAAGAGCUCCAUCUCUGGUGCUCAUACGGGACAUGUCAAGGGUUGGUAAGGUUCUGCGCGUUGCGUCGAAUUGAACCACAUGCUCCACCGCUUGUGCGGGCCCCCGUCAAUUCCCUUGAGUUUUAAUCUUGCGACCGUACUCCCCAGGCGGGAUGCUUAAUGCGUUAGCUGCGCCACUGACGGGUAAACUCGCCAACGGCUAGCAUCCAUCGUUUACGGCGUGGACUAC
rnacentral:misc_RNA from 1 species